CUACGGACUUAAAGGAAUUGAGCCUUGAUUGAGAAAUCUUUCAAGUGGCAGCUCUCAAACUCAGGGAAACCUAAAUCUAUUGGUAGAUACGGCAAUCCUGAGCCAAGCCCAGAGAAAAUUUCCCUGGGAAGGUGCAGAGACUCGACGGGAGCUACCCUAACGUGAAGACGAGGGUAAAGGGAGAGUCCAAUUCUCAAAACUUACGA
rnacentral:ncRNA from 1 species